AACGAACGCUGGCGGCAUGCCUAACACAUGCAAGUCGAACGAGAUCUUCGGGUCUAGUGGCGCACGGGUGCGUAACGCGUGGGAAUCUGCCCUUUGGUUCGGAAUAACAGUUGGAAACGACUGCUAAUACCGGAUGAUGACGAAAGUCCAAAGAUUUAUCGCCAGAGGAUGAGCCCGCGUAGGAUUAGCUAGUUGGUGUGGUAAAGGCGCACCAAGGCGACGAUCCUUAGCUGGUCUGAGAGGAUGAUCAGCCACACUGGGACUGAGACACGGCCCAGACUCCUACGGGAGGCAGCAGUGGAGAAUAUUGGACAAUGGGCGAAAGCCUGAUCCAGCAGUGCCGCGUGAGUGAUGAAGGCCUUAGGGUUGUAAAGCUCUUUUACCCGGGAUGAUAAUGACAGUACCGGGAGAAUAAGCUCCGACUAACUCCGUGCCAGCCGCCGCGGUAA
rnacentral:rRNA from 1 species